UACCUGCAGCUCGAGUGGUAACCGCUAUUAUUGGGCCUAAAGCGUCCGUAGCCGGUUUGGUAAAUAUCUGGGUAAAUCGUGAGGCUUAACUUCACGAAUUUCGGAUAGACUGCCAGACUUGGGAUCGGGGGAGGUCAGAGGUACUCCAGGGGUAGCGGUGAAAUGUUGUAAUCCUUGGAGGACCACCGGUAGCGAAGGCGUCUGACUAGAACGAGUCCGACGGUGAGGGACGAAGCCCUGGGGCGCAAACCGGAUUAGAUACCCGGGUAGUCCAGGGUGUAAACGAUGUGGGCUUUGUAUUGGAGGUCCCACGUGGGCGUCUAGUGCAGAAGAGAAGUUGUUAAGCCCACCGCCUGGGAAGUACGGUCGCAAGGCUAGAAACUUAAAGGAAUUGGGCGGGGGAGCACAGCAACGGGAGGAGCGUGCGGUUU
rnacentral:rRNA from 1 species